UUAGCGGCGCUUUUAAGCGCCACUAAAUUUUUGCGGCGCUUUUAAG
rfam:Gossypium arboreum cultivar AKA8401 contig_32798_1, whole genome shotgun sequence.